rnacentral:RNase_P_RNA from 1 species
AGGUAAACCCCACCCGGAGCAAGGCCAAAUAGGAAUCCACAGGCGCUGCCCGCGCCGGAUUCGGGUAGGCCGCAUGAGGGCUGUGGCGACGCAGUUCCCAGAUGAAUGAUUGUCCACGACAGAACCCGGCUUACCGGUCGGCUCUCACU